UCAAGGCAAUCCAUUAAUGUUCUGACUUCACAUACGCUUCAGGGUUUAGGACAACAUUGCCACAAAAGUUGGAUAUAUUUUAUAAAUAAUGUUUUUAGGACUUUUAGAACUACAAAACCAUUAACUCUAAAGAUAUUGUAAUUAAAUUCACAUCUAAAUUCGGCCACAUCUCUUUUUUUUUUUAGUUUCUAUGAGGUUUUUUUAUCAAUAGUUUAUACUAUGUGAUAUAUAUCAGAGAUUAUUUCCACCAAGUCAAUCUUUUCAUAAAUACUUUCUCAAUCUUUUCAUAAAUAUAAUACUCUUUUAUUGAUCCUUUUGCCGGUACUAAAUUUAAUUAUAGUUCAUUACAUCAGAAUUAAGUACCAAGAAUAAAAUAAACACACAAAAAAAACCAAGCAAAAGGUACUAUUACCUUUAACUUUAAGGCUGUUUGUCAUACUUUCUUGCCCUCUCUCUCUCCCCAGCCUUGGUUAAAAUAUUUUUGAGCUUUUUGAUGAUUGAUUAGAAAAUAAAUAGUUUCAUGAAUUAAGAGAAAGAAAGUACAGUAUGAUGAAUAAAGAAGUUCCCUAGGUGGUUUAAUUAGACUAAUCCUUGUUAAUAAUAAAAUAGACAAGAUUCUGUCCAUAUCAAUAAAUUAGAAAUCUUUGACAGGUGUUUAGUAUUUUUUGCUUAGGUGUGUUAAAUAUGAGUUUUCUUGGGUCUUAAUUAUUAUUUUUAUCUUUGAAAGAGAUUCAUCUAUAUCAUAAUUGUUGAUUAGUUUUUAAAUUCCCACAAAUAUUAAGCAACAUUUAUAAUUAACUUAUUUCAUUAAUUUUUAUAAUUGUUUGUUUAAAGUCAAUUUUUAAAAAAAAAAUUGGCCUUCCCGAAACUAGUUUAUAAAUCGAGAUUCACUUCGACGUAAAGUAAAUAAAUAUGUUGAAGCAUAUAGUAAUGGAAAUUACAUUAAUACGUAUGAGGAACAAAUAUCUGUCAAUGGUCUUCUCUUGUGUUGUUUUCACUAUAAUGUGAUUACUGUUUUUUAUAAUAAAAAGUAAGAAGAAACGAGCCAAGAGAUCGAAAGACCACGAAUAUUCGUUUUCGGAAACAAGGACCAUUUUUAUCUACAUGUAUGUGUUUGGUAUAGUUUUGUACUUUUGCUAUAUACGGGUGCUUAUCUGCUUCUUAACUCAAAUCGUGACUGAACGUGCAUUACUUGUAAUGAGCCAAAGACUUGAUAAUUUUUUUUUAUCAAAAGUAAAAAGUCUUAAUAAGACAUCGGUUGUUUCAUGUUAAAAUGACCAAACUUUUGUAUCAUUUGAUAUGCGAUCAGAAUUCAGACGAGACUAUUGUUUGUGACCUAACUUUUGUAUAUUUGAUUUUUAAAAAUUGUAAUUUAAACUUCUGUUGUAUUCAUAUAGUUAUUAAUCUUACGAUGAUUGUUUGCUUUUUAUCUGUUUAAAGUUUACAGAUGUCGAUUAGGUUUUAUGUUUAAAACAGUGAUAUUUUUAUACUUGCUACUAUCUAAAAUCCGAGUACAUGCCAAUGAGAAGUUUAACUAUAUGCAUGCUUCUUGUUGGCAAGAUUACACUACAAAAUAAGUUGUCAUUAGGUUCGGAGAAUACACGUUUCCUAUGCUUUGUAGUUUGUAGUAUGGCUACAUUUCAUGGACUCCUCAAAUUUGACCCGAAAUUUGAUUACAUACAUCUACUACACAUUGGACCAACGAUCUUACAUUUUAUUGAUACUUUUUAAUCAUUACACCACACAACAACCUUUGAAACCACUUUUAUAUUCCUUUUUCCGGAGGCCCUGCAUUACAAUGUUAGAAGUAAAUUCUAAAUAGCUUGUACAAAAGUGGCGGGUUGAUAUUAGAUUGAGGCGGACAAUAAUUUGCCCACAAAUUAUCGUUAAAACUUAUAAGAGAAAUGAUUAGUCAAACACUAACGCAAUUAUGAAAUGACGAUCGUCUUUUUUGUUUAGUGAUGUGGUGAUUUUAUAUAUUCAACUGCACGUCCACAACUAUACAGAGAUAAUCACAUAAAGCGUAUUAAUUAUUAGAGAAUAAAUUAGAAACAAUAGCAAAAUCGUUGCCAAAAAAAAACAUUAGCAUAGCCUUCAAAGUUUUCUUGCAAGCAUUCAUAUGGGAGUCUCGGACCGAACGAACAUGAUUAUUUUUACAACAUUUUGUUUGUUAGUCAUUUUACAAAUGCAAUUGGUUACAUCAUGCAGAGAAAUUGACAUUUUUAAGGGAUGGGAUGUUAAAGGUUUUCUUGUCAGAAAAUGUAUGCAUCAAAUUAAUUUUUCUAUUCAAAAAUAAGUAUUGACAAAUAUCUAAAACCGACCAUAUUAAAGUACGCUUUAGGCUACAAUAGACAUAUUUAGACUAAAAAGACAAUGACUUGUCUUGUUGAUUUACAACGGCUGCCUGAUAAACCGCCACCAAACAAAAAAAUUAAUCAACAUCGCCGCCGGCACCAUGGAAACUGGUGGUUGAAGCCGCCGCAGAAUGGCUGAGAUACAAUGAUCUUUAUUUGGUUUAACAAUCAUUACACUUUUUAUUUUAUAAAAUUUUAACUAAUAAUGUAAUCUUAACAUCCUAGCAAUGAGUGUGGUUAAUAAGUGGCAGACAAGAACCAAAAUAAAUUCAAUGCGUAACUUAAAUUAUGGAUUAUUAUUCUCUCAAACAAAGAAAGGAAGUAUACUAAUGUCUAUUACCAUCGUACAAAAGAGCAAAUUUCAUUAGCCUUUCAAAGGAACUUACUAUACAACAUUAGAAGAGUAAAUAGUCAUUGUGAUUUCUCUAAACUUUUCCUUCGAACUUGAAAGUCAACUUGUGGUCUUCUUUCAGAGCUGCUAGAUAGUUUCUACAAGGACCUUCUGCAGAAGAACAAAGAAACACACCAGGUGACAAACAAAUUACGUAAAAAACCCCAUUAUAAGAGAUAAGAGAUACUUUAUGUAUUUCAUCAAAUUCUUAUAAAUUCCUAUGUUAUUGGAUUAUGUAUUUCAAAUCAUGCUACUAAAUAUUUUAAAUUCUAGUUUAAUCUAAUUCACUAAUUUUUAACUCUAUUGAAUAUUUGUGUUAUUCUAUUUUUGGUGGAUCUCAUGGAAAUUGUAUUUGAAAAGAAUUUAAUGGAAAUUUAUUAUAAAAUGUAAAAGAACCAAUUUUUAAGGUUCAAGAUAGGAUAUGAAUAUAAUUCUUUAAACUAUUUAUUUAUUAGAUAUCUACGUCAAAAGUAUUAAUACGAUAGAUUUAGAAAUAUAAUUUUCAUUAUCAAUUUUUAAAAUAUAUUAUCGGAAUGACAAAAGUAUAUAUAAUUUAUUGUAAUCAAUAUUACAAAGGAAGAACAUAAUUUUUAUAUUCCGAUAUAUUCUUAUCUAUACAUUUAUAUAGUGAUAUAAAAAUAAUUGAAUUUUAAUUAUUUUUUGUUAGUAGAUUUUUAUUCCACUUUUUAAAAUGAUUUUCUCUAUCUAUAUGGUAUGAAAAUGAUUAUGGUCUUAUUAUUUUUAUCAGUGAAAAUUUUGUUCCUUCUUAGUGCAUUUUAUACAAAGAUUCAAAAAGUUCAUGAAAUUCAAAAUCUAUUAUUUAUGUCUUCAAUUGAGUUAUUUCAAAACCAAUUAAAUUCUUGAAUUAACCCCAAACUUUCAAGUGUGCAUUCUAGACCUUCCUCAUAAUUUCACAAGGAAAUUAAUGUUUUUUUCUUUCUAAACAACCGUUUUCACGGUAAUGCACUCGCGAUUGAUCGAACUAGCUUGGAACGGAAUCUCAGAGAAUUGAAAAGAAGAACAAAAAAAACAAAAGUUGGAGAUUUUCUUGGUUAGCGAUGUAGAGAAUGUAAAGACGUAGAGAACGUAAUGAUAUCAAUUUUAUAGUGAAAUUUUUAGAUUUAUUUAUUUUUUCCCCUAAAUUGCCUUUUAAUUACGCUCUCGCCUGUGUACCACUUAAUGAGCCAGCAUUACCUAAAUGUGAGGGGGGCCAUUGUUCAAGAGUUCCACCUUAGUCUAGUGGUUGGUUGAUAACUUGUCCAUAUGACAAACAAGUCAUGAGUUCGAGUGCAAUUAAUCUAGCAACAGUUUUCUUUAUUUAUACAUGUUAUAAUGAAUUGUGUGAGAUUAGAUAAAUUAAUUAAUUAUACAAAACCUAAUUAUU